rnacentral:rRNA from 1 species
AUGGUGGAGGGCUCCGUGUCCGACAUCGCCAACCUGAAGUUCCUCCUCCUGUGCUUCCAACAGAUGUCGGGACUCACCAUCAACUUCGACAAGAGUGAAGUGAUGGUCCUCGGCUACCCCCCGGACGAUGCUUUGUCCAUUGCGGACCGGCUGAAUUGCCGCCUGGGCUCCUUCCCCACGACUUACUUGGGCGUGCCCAUUAGCGACUCCAGACUCACCGUCGCGGAUCUCCGCCCGACGGUGACUAGGAUGCAGCACAUGGUUGAACCCUGGAGGGGACGCUGGCUGUCGAAAGCUGCCAGGGUGAUCCUAAUCAACUCCUCGCUUGUCAGCCUUCUCUGGUUUCUCAUGAGUUUCUACAGCCUUCAUGAGACCCUCCAUCAGGAGGUGGCCAAAUACCAGUCGAGGUUCUUCUGGGCUGGCGACGGCGACAAGCAGAAGUACCAUAUGGUGAGUUGGCCCGACAUCUGCAAACCCAAAGACCAGGGUGGCCUUGGGAUCCUAUCAUCCCGACGCAUGAACAUUGCCCUCCUGACCCGAUGGUUGUGGCGUAUUGCCAAUGGGAAGGGAGGCCUCUGGCUC